GCUGAGCUGGAUUAAAUCGGUGCUCUAGCGGGUGGGGCAGACCUGGGCUAGCAGGCCUCAGGGAGAACUCCAAUGGCGUCUGUGUCAGCACGCCCACACCAGGCCACAACAAUGGCCGCCGCCAAUGUCCCAGUCCCUGGAGAGGUCUCACCCCUCACCGAGAUGCACUCAGGGACUAUUAGUGUCCUUGGAAUUCAAGUCUGGAGAAUGGUAGAGCCACACAUUUGAAGAAUCCUGUGUUGCUAAAUCACCCCUUGAGAUGGAUCCCAUGCUCACAGGAUAUCAUAUCCAAGUGGCAUUUCAGUUGCACCUUCAAAUGGCCAUCCCUUUGCCUGAUUAAGCCAGCAUCUUCUGAGUGCCAAUUGGUACAAUAUGUGAUAGAACUCUUGGAUCUUAAGUCGUGUGUUGCAAAUUUUUUUUAUAUAAAAUGAGCCCCUUAAUCCAAUUCAGUAUUAUUCAGAAUGUGUCGAUGAAGUAAAUACUCUGUCAUUCAGUGGUUCUGGUCAAGAACCUGUGUGAAGAAAAGGUGCCAUGGUCUGAAUGUUUAUGUCCUCCCAAAAUCCAUAUGCUGAAAUCCUAAUAGCCAAUGUGAUGGUAUUAGGAGAUAGGGGUUUGGGGAGGUGCUUAGGUCAUGAAGGUGGAGCCCUCAUGAAUAGGAUUAGUGUUUUUAUA